UACUGCAACCUCAAACAGCUGUCACUCUAUCGUACUUUCUUUUGUGAAAGGUCUACGAUUCAUUCUUACAGGUGCGGAGGAAAACAGAAGCUUGAGUUUGGGAUCAUUAAAUUUGGAAACGUGAGUGGUAUCGCGGGAACAAGGUCGAGGCUAGUUAGUAAGGACAGAGGAUUGGGGGGGGGCGGUAAAAGAAAGUCCUCCACCUUUUACCGUUUAUGAGAAAUCCCUACAGACACUGACUACUCGGCGUGUCUUUGUAAAGCAGAACCGCUGUGAAAAUUGCCUGUUCUGCCCAGAGCUCUCUCCCGACAGCAUUUCCCAGCGCCCCAGCAAAACUCUGCCAAUCAGUGUGUACACGGUCCUGCCAGCCCCACAGAAGCAAGCGAUGGGCAGGGUUUCCCACAGCAACACCUAAAAAGGGCUGGGUCGGCACAAAAGCUGAACUCAGAUUUGAAUUUUAAGUGAAUUUUCCCACCAAGCCGGCGUACUUAAGGAAGAGAAAUCACGCCCUGAAAACACCAGCGAAGCUCGCCAGAGCUGCUUUCUGCGAACCAAGCGGGCUGAACAAACUGCACGGGAGGAGGAAUUCGACAGGAAAGGAUGCAAAGGUGGCCAACAGGACCAUCGUGAAGAUCAAGUCAGAUUCCAUAGACGAGAGUGCUCCGUGAGUUACGAGAUGAAAUGCAAAUGUUACUGAAAGGCUUAAUAAUAAUUAAAACAGACCCUCAAGCUCUAUCCAAGAUAUGGCUGGUGACACAACCAAGUAGCUGUAUAUCCGGAGAUACACAGUAAUUUACGGAGGGCCCUUCCACUGACAAGAUCCUCUAAAGAGCCUGACACAUCGGUGGAUCCCCCUGCAUCUCUUGCAAAGGUAUCAAAUCUGUGCAUACGUACACCUUUCUGUAAAGACAUCUGGACUUGCACUAAAAGCUUCCAGAAGAACUGUGUGUUCAGAAGUUAUAUUGCUUCAGGAUGAAAGCUCUUGUCCAUUUUUUCUCAUAAGUCUAAGAACAGUUAACUUCUAGUUCAUUGUCUUUACACUUAGGAAAACAGCAUUUCAUUUAAACUAUUCUCCUAAAACGUGAGUAUUAUCAAGAGGCAAUACCUUAGUUAAUGAGUCUCGUCUUGUUGGACACUUACCUUAAAAAAUACAAAGAGUUGCUCACAAAAAUUUUAAAAAACUGUUGAUUGGGUGCAGGAUAAAAGACCAAACUGAAGACCCUAAUGUAGCAGAAAACAUUGUGGCUAAAAAAAGGGCCAGGCCUUGGUGAAUUUCUCAACAACUGUUCUCAAACAUCAAGUUUUCCCCUUGAUUGUUUAGUCGUAUUUCUGCUUGUCUGUGUAAUUUCUAGCUUGUGCUCUGGACAUAAAAGCCAUGAACUAAUUUACUUAACUGGAAUACUAACAUCCCUAACCCUCAAAGUAACUACCGUGAGUUGAAAAAAUUUCUGUGAAAUAGCGAAUCACAUUAUAUCCUCUAUCCAGAUAACAUUAUACUAACAUCUAACACUACAGAGUCACACGUGGCUUCAGGGUUUAGCUGCUGAACCCACAUCUAGCUUAAAAAUGUUAACCACAAUAAUUUAAUGCUCUUAUACCAUCUUCCUGAGAUUAUUUAACACCUCAGAACGAGUGGAGGGCCAAAACAAGAACUCUCUUCCUCAGCAGGUGACUUCAUUGGUUGCAGCGUAAGAAUGCCCU